CGCACAUUGCGCUCUUCGGUAUUCCGGAGAGCAUACCUGUUCGAGCGUCAUUUACAAUCUUCAAGCUCUGCUUGGUGUUGGAUGAUUGUUCUAGUUAAUUUUAGAACUCGUCUUAAAUAUAUCGGCAUCUGUAUAUCGAUUCAAAGCACAGUAAACUGGUAGCUUUAAUUGAAAAGCGGUUUGCCGCAAUUUCUUUAUAUUUUGGACCUCGGAUCAGGUAGGGAUACCCGCUGAACUUAA
rnacentral:misc_RNA from 1 species